ACUGCUGAGCGACCGCGCGGUUCCCUGCUAUUUGUACCGCCCAAGGCAGUCCUAGCUCCGCCCCUUUACGCUCGCACCGGCGAACCUGCCUGGGCAGGCAGCUCGCGCAGGACGGGGCGGGACCAGACAGUUGCGCGCACAGAAGGCUGGCGUAGCAGAGCCAGACCCAGGGCCCUCCAGAUUACCCCAGGUUUGUGGAGUCUGUGGAUGAAUAUCAGUUUGUGGAGCGCCUGUUACCGGCUACCAGGAUCCCAGAUCCCCCAAAGCAUGAACAUUAUCCUACCCCUAGUGGCUGGCAGCCUCCCAGAGACCCCCCACCCAACCUGCCUUACUUUGUACGACGCUCUCGGAUGCACAACAUCCCCGUCUACAAGGACAUCACGCAUGGCAACCGGCAGAUGACUGUGAUCCGGAAAGUGGAAGGGGACAUCUGGGCCCUGCAGAAAGACGUGGAAGAUUUUCUGAGCCCGCUGCUGGGGAAGACACCUGUCACCCAGGUCAAUGAGGUGACAGGUACCCUACGGAUCAAGGGCUACUUUGACCAGGAGCUUAAAGCCUGGCUCUUGGAGAAAGGCUUCUGAGGCCCAGCCGAGCAGCCUGCUUGUCAGCAUGCCCUGUGGAUCAAGUCUAGGGGGCCUCAGGAGGAGGGAGGUGGGUGUUGGAGCCCCUGAGACAGGGGAUACAGAAACUAGGGCUAAAGGACUUUGGGGUCAGGCCUUGCUUGCAUAAAGGAGAAAACAACUCUAUGUACAUGCUGGGGGAGAGUGCCUAAUGUGGGAGACCAAAUAGGGAUCACCAGGCUAAUGGGGGGCGUCAGCAGCUUUCUCUCCCUCCUAUCUUGGCCUGUUCUUUUUUGUUUUUUGAGACGGAGUCUCACUCUGUUGCCCAGGGUGGAGUGCAGUGGCAUGAUCUUGGCUCACUGCAACUUCCACCUCUGGGAUCAAGGGAUUCUCCUGCCUCAGCCUCUUGAGUAGCUGGGAUUACAGGCGCCCACCACCACAGCCUGCUAAUUUUUGUAUUUUUAGUAGAGAUGGGGUUUCACCAUGUUGGCCAGGCUGGUCUCAAACUCCUGACUCGAAGUGAUCCGCCCACCUUGGCCUCCCAAAGCGUUGGGAUUAUAGGCAUGAGCCAUGUGCCUGGUCCACCUUGGCCUGUUUUGUUUUUCUUUCCUUGGGCUCAGCAAUUCAAAUUCUAGUUGUUAUUUGGUGGAAGCAGUAGCCCAACCCCAGUUUAGGGGAAGGUAGCACAGGGCAGAGCCACUGGGCACUUUGUUUCCUUGGCCCUCCGAAGCUCACUGUUGCAAAUACCCCCAAGCCUUUGCUCUAGGCCAGAUCUUGUUUGGUGCAGGUGAUGGAGAACACAGAUGACUCGGGCAUGGGUCUUGGAGAUCUUCUGUUCAAAGUACAGUGCUGGCACUGGGGCACAGAGUGCCCACGUUAGCCCCGGGCUCUGAUAGAGAGGUAGGAGGCACGUUCUUGGUCACUGUUCCAUUGCAGACCAGACUUGCUGGCCUGACCACAAGGGAGUGGCUGGGAACUCACAGCCAGCAUAGGGACAUCCCCCUGCAGCCUUCUGACCUGCAAUCAAGGCUGGGGAGGGGUUUGCAGGCAGGAAUAUGCUGACCUUUCACCCUGCCAUCCCAUCCCAACCCCAGCUCACUAGCCUUCAUAUAUGCCUUAUACUUGGAGUCACAGGGGCCAAAGGCCUGAGACCCCACCCUGCCCCCAAACUGGCUAAGACAGCUUUCAGUUCCUGACUCCCCAACUUGGUCUCUGCCCUGAAGCAGGGCACUGAACUCUGGGCUGCUUCUCUGUGUGUAAAAUGGGCACAUCUUCCUAAUCUGUUAAUGGUCAGUGGUGUCCCCAAGGAUAGUGCUGGCUUCCAUGGAAACCCUCACUCCUGGAGAUUCCAUUCCAUUUUCAAGUGUACAGCCACAGCAAGGAGCCCGACACUGAUUUGAUCGAUUCUGUGACACAAACCCCACCAAUUGUUAAUGCAAGUUUUUAUUUGGCUGUAUAUACAAUUUAAGCUAUUAAAAUUUGUACAAUAUUUACAAAUUAAAUAAUCAUCUGAAACUG